UAGGGAAUAUUGCACAAUGGGGGAAACCCUGAUGCAGCGACGCCGCGUGAAGGAAGAAGUAUCUCGGUAUGUAAACUUCUAUCAGCAGGGAAGACAAUGACGGUACCUGACUAAGAAGCCCCGGCUAACUACGUGCCAGCAGCCGCGGUAAUACGUAGGGGCGAAGCGUUAUCCGGAUUUACUGGGUGUAAAGGGAGCGUAGACGGAUCUGCAAGUCUGGAGUGAAAGCCCGGGCGUCAACCCAGGCAGGCGUUGAAUUGAACUGUGGAUCUAGAGUGCCGGAGAGGUAAGCGGAAUUCCUAGUGUAGCGGUGAAAUGCGUAGAUAUUAGGAGGAACACCAGUGGCGAAGGCGGCUUACUGGACGGUAACUGACGUUGAGGCUCGAAAAGCGUGGGAGCAAACAAGGAUUAGAUACC
rnacentral:rRNA from 1 species